GUUUUGGUGUGUGUAUGUUGUGUUACGGUGCGGAAGUUCUCCCGAAAUGUUUUGUCAUUCUUGUUUGCUGUGGGUUCACAGUGUGGCGCAUAUUUGCAACAGUGUUAAAGUUGUUUUUACGGCCACCCUCAGUGUGACCUGUAUGGCUGUUGACCAAGUAUGAAUUGCAUUCACUUGUGUUUGUGUGAAAAGCCAUAAAUAUUAUGUGAUUGGGCCGCCACGCAAAGGCAGUGCCCUUAAGGCACGCCCCUUAUAUUGUUGUCUGGGUGGAAAUCGGGAGAAUGGUUGCCCCGGGAGAUUUUCGGGAAGGGCUCUGAUAUUCGGGAGUCUCCCGGGGAAAUGGGGAGGGUUGGCAAGUAUGACUGAGAGACGCAACUUCUCUGUACUUCUCCCUACGUCCGUCUACCACUACGUACAGCGGCGUUUUAAAAAGUCAUCAAUUUUACUUUUCGAAACCGAUAAUUUCCGAUAUUACAUUUUAAAGCAUUUAUCGUUUAAGGGACUGCCGAUAUUAUCGGACAGUCAUGCUUUGCUCCGCUAAGUAAAAAGUGAGAUUACAUUUCCAGAUCACUUCAUUGAAUUUUGCAUAACACCACUAACAAACAAGAUCACCAAGCGAUAAUCUCUGAUAACCUCUUGUCCGUGACCAUUUGUGCUUGGGGGACGUAAUAAAGUAACAGUUCAAUCAAUUAACUCGCUGUUCAAAUAAUAAUAAAAAAAAAAAAACAGCCCUUAAUGAAGGUCCUGAAAGAGACGCUGGACAAAAGUGGGGAGGAGCAAUUAUAAAGGUCUGAAAGUGAUUCUCUACGGCCCGUUUUGAGAUAUUAGAAGUAGACAAAUCUGCUUGUGGCUGAAAGGCCGUGACGAUCAAGCGUGGAGGUAGAAAAAUAUCAGAUGUUAGCAACAACAAACAAGGAUGUUGUUCUCGGGAGCCCAAAGCAAAACUUUGCAACUGGAGUGUGUGUCAGUGCUCACAAACACACACACACACAUUUCCACAGCCAACAGUCUGAUGCUUUCUCCCGCCUUGAUGAGCUAAGCGGUAAACACUGACUGUGUUAGAUCAGUGACUUUGUGAAAUCAAUUAGUGCAGUUUCCUCUUACGCAUUACUUGUAAGGACUGGGAAAAUUGCGAGAGUCGUCGUAAAAGCCGCACCAGAUCACAUGACGGCGUUGUCCUGUGAGUAAACACCGUUGCUGCACCAUCCCCUCGGACGCCGUCCUCAUCCUUUCGUCGAGCUUGAGCGUGUGACAUGAAAUCCUCUCCACCGUGACAUAUGUGAGCUUCCUUCGUUGCGAGCAAAUGAGGGUAUAUAAAAAGAGACUGAGGCUAUGUCUACACUAAGCCGUAUAACCCCUUAAAUGACAAGUUGAUUGGCAACACUAAAUGGUCCCUAGUACACAGUAAAAUCCCCAGUGUUAAAUAUGCAGUGUUAACAUGCAUUAUAUCUAUCAGCGUUAUUACAACAACAGCUGGAGUAAAACGCCCCCCAGUGUUGGUGUUGAUUUCCAUCGUUGAAGAGACAGUGUUAAAGGUACACUGAUUAGCCCCACCCUCCAGCCCCUCCCCGUGUCCACACCCUGAAGAAUGUUCUGGAAGCCAUUUUCUGAAUGUUUAAGGACUGUGGUAAGUUGCUUCUCCUCUCUUACUAAAUCAGUUAUUUGUAAUUUGUAGCAUCAUGUCAGAAUUUACUUUAUAUUGUUGCUCAAUAUGUAAUGAAGUUAUUUGUGUACGGUUUUGUAUCUGAAAAAUAUGGUAUUCAAAGAGGGCUAAUGUCACCCAGUGAAUGCUAGCUUAAAUGUUAGCCACCUCAGACUUCGUUUUUGUGAGGGUUGUGGGACAAUUUCAAACAAUAUAUGAAAUAGAAUAUUUAAUAUGUAAAUUCUACAUAAUUAUGCUCUGGAGAUCUGGCGGAAAAAUAGUGAGUAACCCUGGUCUAGGCAAGCGUGGGUGGCCAGACCACAAAAUCAUGAGGUUUGUGUGUAAAUAUUUUUGCUUCUACAUUGUUAAUAGCGAAGUUACUAAACAAUCACCUGUUCGAUUACCAGCGUGAAGAUAUGCAGAUAAGAUUACAGGUAUCAUAAAUCAUGUUUCAUUUUAUGUGUUUUUUUAAUUGAGUGUGCAAUUUCAUAUUUGUUGGCCCUUUUUUUGGUAGCCCUAUUUGAAAUUAUAUAUAGGAGUAUCAAGUCAUUAGGUUUUUCUAAUGAUCAUUUUUCUUAUAUGUGUGUAAACAAUAUUUGUUUUGACUGGGCCUUUCAACUUUGGCUGUAUGUUUCGCUUCAAAAUAACUGAUUUGAAACUCAUUUAAAAAAUAUAUCAAAUGACCUGUCAAUUUCUGCUUUUUUCUGUUCCCUAGCAUUUGCCAAAUUCGGUGUCCCAGCUGUAAAUGAAGGUGUCAAAGUUGACAGUUCAGGGACUGAAAUAGAUGAUGAUGUUUUUGAGGAAAUUGUGAAGGAUCCAGCCACUGGGGUACUAACCAUCAAAUACAAAACAGAAUCUGUCUCCAUGGUAACCUCACCAAAGUCAAAAUCAUUCAUUUGUUCAUCGGACUCAGACACAAUCAUCCUUGAAGACACUCCUACCAGAAAGCGUCAGAGGCUGGACUCUGAAGCUAUGCAACUGGUGAAAUCCAUUCUUACCAAGAAAUCGGGUGGAGAAAUAUAUAAUAAAUUAAUACAACCGAACUAAGUCCUUGACAGAACAGAGCAGAAGAAAAUUGGUGAAUAUACUGGCAGCUGAGAUGACUGAGAAGAAUGGUACAUCCCCGUUAAGACAGGUGAAGGAAAUGUAUGCAGAAGGAAUUGUGAACUUGUUACCCAACCUCAGAGACCAAUUUUCCAAGAAUGGCUAUGAACAUUUUUAUGGAGAAUUAAAACUAUUCAGAGAUGCAGUGCUAAAGAAAGGCGAUCAUCAUUUGGAGCUUUGGUGGAAGGACCAUCUGAUGAAGACAAGUCGGGAGGACCAAUUGUUGGACGAGUUACCCAAUUCCAUCCAGAGAUUGUCCUGUCUUGGAAGCGAUGUCACUGAUGAAACAUUCAGCUGGCGUGGACAUAGUCAUCAAAAAGAUGAAGCUGUUUGCCCAUCGGCAAAACAUGGUCCUGGACCAACAGCAGUCAAGCAACAUUCUAUCUUAUUUUCCUCGUUUUAAAGACAUCAAUGGCUUGGUUGAACAGGAUUUUGUUCUAAUGUUUGGAAAGGAUUAAUCGUGCAAGUUUCUGGAGAAGUGGCCAACCACAUUCAAAAAGAAGAUCUUCCAACAAUGCAGAAAGCUUCCCUCCAUCUUUGAGCUUGAGGAACUCCUGAUGGCAGCUGACCCUCCUGAGGAUGGGGCUGAAGUGAACGUUGACUUUGGUUGGGACAGCGACCUCUCAUCGAUUUUGCUGCUCUUACACUUGAUCCCACCGACUGCUCUAGGUCGGAAGAGGCCAGGAGAAGUUUCUGCAUCCCGGGCUGACAAGCAUCUUGUGGUCUUCAAAAAGACUGGAUAAAGCAUCCUAGAACAUUUUGACACCAUCACUCAACCCUAUCUCCUGGCUGUUGGAGUGAGGAUGAAUACAAUCCACGAGUUCUUCAUAAUUCUCGACAAGAAUGUCGUACCUUGCAGGUCUCACUCCUCUCUUGGUGCUUUUGAUUAACUGUUUAAAGCACACUUUGUGUUUGCGACAUCAUACCUCACCAUGCUCCACAACAUGUACACAUUCAUGCCUUACUCCAAACCAUUUGAUGUUCAAAUGGCUUAUGGAACAUCAUGUUCCACAUUGUAUGUUGUCCCAUAUUGCCAUUUCAUGCAGACCUAAGGUCACCCUUUAUGUAUUCUGUCCCUAAAGUUGAUUGUCCUGCC